rnacentral:rRNA from 1 species
AUUGAACGCUGGCGGCAUGCCUUACACAUGCAAGUCGAACGGUAACAGGUCUUCGGAUGCUGACGAGUGGCGAACGGGUGAGUAAUACAUCGGAACGUGCCUAGUAGUGGGGGAUAACUACUCGAAGGAGUGGCUAAUACCGCAUGAGAGCUACGGAUGAAAGCAGUGGAUGGCAAGACCUUGUGCUACUAGAGCGGCCGAUGGCAGAUUAGGUAGUUGGUGGGAUAAAAGCUUACCAAGCCGACGAUCUGUAGCUGGUCUGAGAGGACGAUCAGCCACACUGGGACUGAGACACGGCCCAGACUCCUACGGGAGGCAGCAGUGGGGAAUUUUGGACAAUGGGCGCAAGCCUGAUCCAGCAAUGCCGCGUGCAGGAUGAAGGCCUUCGGGUUGCAAACUGCUUUUGUACGGAACGAAAAGCCCUGGGUUAAUACCCUGGGGUAAUGACGGUACCGUAAGAAUAAGCACCGGCUAACUACGUGCCAGCCGCCGCAGUAA